GGAGAGGUGGCCGAGCGGUUGAUGGCACCGGUCUUGAAAACCGGCAUUGACGCAAGUCAAUCGUGAGUUCGAAUCUCACCCUCUCCG
rnacentral:tRNA from 4 species